UACGUAGGGGGCAAGCGUUGUCCGGAAUUAUUGGGCGUAAAGAGCGUGUAGGCGGCCAGAUAAGUCCGCUGUGAAAUCUCGAGGCUCAACUUCGAGCUGUCGGUGGAAACUAUCUGGCUAGAGUCCGGAAGAGGAGAAUGGAAUUCCUGGUGUAGCGGUGAAAUGCGCAGAUAUCAGGAGGAACACCAAUGGCGAAGGCAGCUCGCUGGGACGGUACUGACGCUGAGGCACGAAAGCUAGGGGAGCAAACAGG
rnacentral:rRNA from 1 species